UGCCAGGUGCUUGCCACUGGUCCUGGC
rnacentral:piRNA from 1 species